rnacentral:rRNA from 1 species
UGGGGAAUAUUGGACAAUGGGGGCAACCCUGAUCCAGCAAUGCCGCGUGUGUGAAGAAGGCCUUCGGGUUGUAAAGCACUUUUAUCGGGAACGAAACAUUGUCGGCCAAUACCCGGCAAGACUGACGGUACCCGAGGAAUAAGCACCGGCUAACUCCGUGCCAGCAGCCGCGGUAAUACGGAGGGUGCAAGCGUUAAUCGGAAUUACUGGGCGUAAAGCGUGCGCAGGCGGUUUGUUAAGUCUGCUGUGAAAUCCCCGAGCUCAACUUGGGGAUUGCAGUGGAUACUGGCAAGCUGGAGUACGGUAGAGGAAGGUGGAAUUCCCGGUGUAGCAGUGAAAUGCGUAGAGAUCGGGAGGAACACCAGUGGCGAAGGCGGCCUUCUGGACCAGUACUGACGCUCAUGCACGAAAGCGUGGGGAGCAAACA